GUUGGAGGUCUUCAAUACCUUUCUUUAACUAGAUCGGAUGUCUCAUUUGUAGUACACAAAGUAUUAUAAUUCAUGUAUAAACCAAUGGAUGAACACUAAAAUGAUAUUAAAAGAAUCCUUCGCUAUUUAAAGGGCACUCUCUCACAUGGAAUAUUAAUCACCAAGGCCUCCAAUCGUGAUCUUCAAGUGUACACUAAUGUUGACUAGGCAAUAAGUAUAAACCAAAGAAAAUCUAUUAUAGCUUAUGCCAUCUUCAUGGGCUCCAAUCUUGUUGCUUGGUCAACUAAGAAGCAACAGACUAUGGCUUAGUCAUCCACAGAAGCUGAGUAUCAUGCAUUAGCUGCUGCCACUACUAAAGCAACUUGGCUUCAAUCCUUGCUUCGGGACAUUCACAUGCU
rnacentral:misc_RNA from 1 species